rnacentral:rRNA from 1 species
UACGGAGGGCGCUAGCGUUGUUCGGAUAUACUGGGCGUAAAGCGCACGUAGGCGGCGCCGUAAGUCAGGUGUGAAAUCCCCGGGCUCAACCCGGGAACUGCACUUGAAACUGCCAGUCUUGAGUGAUGGAGAGGAUGGCGGAAUUCCUGGUGUAGAGGUGAAAUUCGUAGAUAUCAGGAGGAACACCGGUGGCGAAGGCGGCCAUCUGGAAAUCUACUGACGCUGAGACGCGAAAGCGUGGGGAGCAAACAGG